rnacentral:rRNA from 1 species
CACGUAGGGCGCGAGCGUUGUCCGGAAUUACUGGGCGUAAAGGGCUCGUAGGCGGCCAACUAAGUCAGACGUGAAAUCCCUCGGCUUAACCGGGGAACUGCGUCUGAUACUGGAUGGCUUGAGUGUGGGAGAGGGAUGCGGAAUUCCAGGUGUAGCGGUGAAAUGCGUAGAUAUCUGGAGGAACACCGGUGGCGAAGGCGGCAUCCUGGACCAUUACUGACGCUGAUGAGCGAAAGCCAGGGGAGCAAACGGG